GGCAAACAAUAACGAGGAGCUUGGAACAACAGCGAUUGGAUGAGAGGGGGAGAGAGAGAGAGAAAGGGGAGAGAGAGACACAGAGAGAGGGGAGAGAGAAAGUGAGACAGAGAAAGACUACACAAAACCGCACAUCCAAACUGAACAACUUUAGUUUGGGAUAGCCUUUAGCAUUUAAUAUUGUCACCGAUAAAAGGCCUACAUUGUAGGCCCACAGUACAGUUUGUUUUGUUCAACGUACAGAGAAAGAAAGAAACAGAACGACGGACAGAAGGGCAGACAGAAAGAAGGACAGACAGAAUGCGCAAGACCGUCCGGGUGCUGCGGGCGAUGACUGCAGGAUGGUGUCGGGGUGCGAGGAGUGGUGCGUGGAGUGGUGCGUGGAGUGCCAUCCGUCCGUGCAUCAGUGUUGACGGGGGACUCCGGCCGUCGUGUGCUGCGCACGGCGUGAGGACCAGAGAGACAGGCCGUGACUACAAAGCCGUCUCUGAACCACAGGCCUGUGCCAGCAUGACAAUUUCAAAAGAGAAAAUGGAGAACACCCAAAGCAUCACUUCUGAAAUGAUAAACUGCUGUUAUGCAAGGAAACCGGGAACUUAAAUUAGUUCUGCCUCAUUUGGUCGCAUCCGGUAACUGUCAAUCACAAUUCUUUUUUGUAUGAAUAUAAAUAUUUUAGCUUUAUUUCUCCUGUGUAAUGGUUUAAAUUAUUUGCAUGAAGGAAUAUGUGUAAAUUAUGCAUGCAUAUAAUGAC
ensembl:lncRNA